rnacentral:rRNA from 1 species
UACGGAGGGUGCAAACGUUGCUCGGAAUCAUUGGGCGUAAAGCGCACGUAGGCGGCCUGUUAAGUCGGGUGUGAAAUCCCCGGGCUCAACCUGGGAAUGGCAUUUGGGACUGCAAGGCUGGAGUACGGCAGAGGAGACUGGAAUUCCUGGUGUAGCAGUGAAAUGCGUAGAUAUCAGGAGGAAUACCGAUGGCGAAGGCAGGUCUCUGGGCUGAUACUGACGCUCAUGCACGAAAGCGUGGGGAGCAAACAGG